rnacentral:rRNA from 1 species
UACGGAGGGUGCAAGCGUUGUCCGGAAUCACUGGGCGUAAAGGGCGCGUAGGCGGCUCAUGAAGGCUGCGGUGAAAGUCCGGGGCUCAACCUCGGAUCGGCCGUGGCGACUCGUGGGCUGGAGCACUGUAGAGGCGGGUGGAAUUCCGGGUGUAGCGGUGGAAUGCGUAGAGAUCGGGAGGAACACCUGUGGCGAAGGCGGCCGGCUGGGGGUGCCCUGACGCUGAGGCGCGAAAGCGUGGGGAGCGAACCGG